GCGUUCUGGCGAAUGGAACCAUCAAUGGAAAGAGGAGUGUAAGGGGCCCGAGUGUUUUGUUUUACAGUAAAACUAAUGGAAAGAGGAGUGUUUAAGGGGCCUGAGUUUUUUUGUUUUACAGUAAAACAUAUGGAAAGAGGAGUGUAAGGGGCCUGAGUGUUUUGUUUUACAGUAAAACAUAUGGAAAGAGGAGUGUAAGGGGCCUGAGUGUUUUGUUUUACAGUAAAACAUAUGGAAAGAGGAGUGUUUAAGGGGGCUGAGUGUUUUGUUUUACAGUAAAACUAAUGGAAAGAGGAGUGUUUAAGGGGGCUGAGUGUUUUGUUUUACAGUAAAACUAAUGGAAAGAGGAGUGUUUAAGGGGCCUGAGUGUUUUGUUUUACAGUAAUACAUAUGGAAAGAGGAGUGUUUAAGGGGUCUGAGUGUUUUGUUUUACAGUAACACAUAUGGAAAGAGGAGUGUAAGGGGCCUGAGUGUUUUGUUUUACAGUAAAACUAAUGGAAAGAGGAGUGUUUAAGGGGUCUGAGUGUUUUGUUUUACAGUAACACAUAUGGAAAGAGCAAUGUAAGGGGCCUGAGUGUUUUGUUUUACAGUAAAACUAAUGGAAAGAGGAGUGUUUAAGGGGGCUGAGUGUUUUGUUUUACAAUAAAACAUAUGGAAAGAGGA